CCUUCGUCCCCUGCUCGACUUUAUUUAGGGUAAGGAGUUGUUGUGGAAUUUCAGGCAUCGCUUUCGAAGUUAAAAGUAGGAUAGCGCCAAUCGCAGAUGGGAAUGAGGAAUGAAAGGGAUUUGCCAGUUGCAGGUUGCUUUAGCGAAGACCCGACCGCGAUUCGAGGCUUUUGCAUUCUGUCAAUCUUGUGUGGUGGCAACGUGAACGGCUUUGCUUAAGAAUUCAAUUCUUGCGAAGCGCUUCUAGAAUCACUGUUCCAUGCAUUCUCACAGCCGAAAGCAUCAUGCAGUAAUCCGAACGACAGAGUGAAAUUACAGGAGCAGGAGGAUCCAUGACGCAUCGUAUAUGAUUCUCUGCUCUCUUCGAACACCACAUCGUCGUGGAUUGGCCCGAAAGGAUGGAAGAUGCUAGUCGUGUUUUCAGCGCCUGUGUGUAAUGCUCACGCAGUCGUCGCAAUAACACACGGCGCAAUACUGCAUCUCAUAAGGGAGAUGGAGUCCCGUACGUUUGGCAUCGCUGAAUGGGAUGCACGAGCACUGUCUCUCCCCCAUGUUACAGUAAAGAAAUAGAAGGUUCUGGACUUUCAUGCUGUACAGAAAUACAUUUGCAGCUCAAUUUUUGUAAAGGUCAAUUGAUCUUCACAAGUGCGUCUCAGCUUCAAAUGGCAGAUGGUUAACUCACGGACUGGUCAUGGAGAUCGAGGUCCACGUCCCCAUUCACGACCAUGUCACCGUCUCAGCAGAUAAUUCCUAACCCGAAUUUCUUACUCUUACUUGUAAGAACUCUUAUUUCUAGCAGGAAAUAUUUGGUGCGCGUAGAUUACAUUUCUACAUCCAAAUUAUACAGGGAUAUGUUGUUAACAUGACAAGGUUAGUGAAUCAUAAUUUUAUAAUCUAAGUUUUUUUUACUAAUGAAAUGAACUAAUAUGGGUUUAUUUUUUAGUUAUAGAUGAAGUGGUUUUGUGAAAAUAUUAGCAGUAGUAGUAGAGGGAAUUAAAUGAUUUAAACGUUUACCUAGACAAGGGUAUCUCAUUACUAAAAAUUUGUAUUAUUUUUAAAAUGUUGAAAAUAUAAAAUCAAUUUGAUGUAA